CCAGCCGCGUCUUACCAAAAGACGUUAAAAUAUGCUACUUGAUGUUCCCUACCUAGAGCUCGGCAUUAAUGAGUAAAAAGGCGGUUUCUACGUUUGCAUCCUAAAAGAAAAGACUGCCUACAACAGAGUGUUUGAAUGUAUAGAUGCUGGUUGACAUCAGUCAGUACAGACAGGCAAUGGGGACAUUUGCAGUCGGGCUACACUCGUAUGCAGCGUUUGGAAUACAGCUAGAAUGUACCUCGAAUACAGUCAGAACGUCUCGAAUGCUCAUCAAAUAUGCCCUGAGGUCAUCAGAACACCGCCGAAUCGCAUAAAAACGUGGCCACCUUUCACAGAAACGCCAGAUAGCAUUUGGGAGUCGCAUUCUUAUAAAGCUUGAAAAAUUGUUUAUUUUGAC